GGUUUGCUGCGCUUUCACCUUCCCAUUAAUGUUUUCCAUACACUCCCAUAACUAAGAAACAUACAGCCCUGAUUGCUGUUGGCAGACAUCUGCCGCUAUGGUAGAAAGCAGCCUGAGGACAAAAUUGUUAAGAGGAAAAAAGCAGAGCCCAGGCAGCCCCGGAGGAAUGAAGCUGGAACUCUGAUCAGUUAUCGGGAGAAGCAUUUUAACACUGACAUUGUUUGGAAUUGCCAGUGCAUGGUAAUAAUAAAAAGCAGUCAGUUGAGACCAGCCUGGGCAACAUGGCAAGACCCUAUUUAAAAAAAAAUACCCUACGAAAUCCAACAAAAAGCAUUCAGAAUUUUAGUUGGCUUCAUUCUUCCUCUUAUUGUCUGCUCCCAGGGUGAACUGCUCCUACUACCCUCAGCUAUGGAAUGCCACUAUUUGGGACUAAAAGAAAAGGGUCAAAGUUCAAAAUUUGUGAUUUGCUGCAGUCAUUUAUCCAUGCACUUUUUUACUCACUCUACACGUUCUCAAGGGCACUUGCUGUGUGCAAGGCACUGCAUUAGGUACUAGGAGUAAAUAUGGCAUGAGACUGAACCCAAAGAAUUAACAAUUGAGUGAGAGGUAUAGAUAAGAAAUUGAAGAGUAAAUACAUAACAACAGGGCUGCAACUGGGACAAAUAUGGGAAGCAAGGGAAAAGAACACCUCAGUUGGUUUAGGGCUUCCCAAAAGGGUGGCAUUGAAGCCAAGACCCAAUUACCUCCAUGCCUGGGAGCCAUGCCCAUGCUGACAUUGUUGACAGCCAUCCUGUCUCCUCCUUUCUGCUUUCACCAGGACGUAACUUGGGUUCCCAAAAGGCCACUAUCAUGCUUUCUGUUUCCUAUAUGACCUAGCACUGGGACUAUUAACCAGGUUUUGGUCUUCUGACAUCUCCUCUGUGCACUUCCAUUUUAUUCCCAC
rnacentral:lncRNA from 1 species